rnacentral:misc_RNA from 1 species
CUUUUUUUUUUAAUUUUUUAAAUAUUAAAAAAAUUUACAAUGAUAAAAUGAGCAAAUAACAAAAAAACUAAAGAACAUAAAACAGAUCUCAUGUUUCAGAAUGAGAACAAAUACCCAUAACAAAAGUUGUCAAAACAAAAUCCAACAAUUUAAGAACCCUACAAUUUAAGAACCCUACAAUUCAAGAGCUGCUUUGAUCAAGAUGCAUGUGGUGCAAGGACAACAAUUUAAGACACCAAAACACCAAGAUUCAACAACAAACCCUAAACUAAAAAAUCUAGAAAUUCACAUUAAAAAUUCAAAAAUACAACCAAGAAUGCAUCAAACACAAUAAAAAAAUCACAAGGAACAAAUCCAUCAAGCAUCAACAAAACAAAUCAAGGCACUAGCGGAGGAGAGGAAGGCUGAGAAGGCACUAGCGAAGGAGAAGAAUGCAUCAGCAAUGGAGAAUGAGUUGAGAGCAAAGAACUAUUCUCACCAACUUGCAAGACAUGGCGAACUAUUCACCCAGAUGUUGGAGGACAAUAACGCCAAGAUCCUCAACUUAGCACUCAAGUUUUGGUUCACCUUCAGGUCUUGCUUGGGUGGAGGCAAAUCGACAAGAGAGCAACAGAAACAUAUUUUGGUUUUGAUUUUAGAGUUUUGAAGGAGGGAAGAACAGAUUUUGGUUUUGAUUUUAGAGGUACGAAAGAGAGAAUAAUAGAUUUUGAUGGAGGGAGAACAGAUUUUGGUUUGCUUAGUCGAUGAAUUGAAGAUUCUGGAAGAGGAGAUAAAAGAAGGGUUUUUGUGAUUUUCUUUUUGAAAAUUAUAAAUAAUUUUUAGUAUGUAGAAAUUAGAGAAAAUAAUAUUUUAUUAUGUUAAGACUAAUUUGAGCUUAAUGAGAAAGCUGUGGGCCAAAAGGUCAUUUUGGGUUUAUUUGAUUUUUGAUAAAAGAUUUAGGGGCUUAUUUGAACUUA